CGACCGGCGCACGGGUGAGUAACGCGUAUGCAACCUGCCUGAUACCGGGGUAUAGCCCAUGGAAACGUGGAUUAACACCCCAUAGUACUUUUAUCCUGCAUGGGAUGUGAGUUAAAUGUUCAAGGUAUCGGAUGGGCAUGCGUCCCAUUAGUUAGUUGGCGGGGUAACAGCCCACCAAGACGAUGAUAGGUAGGGGUUCUGAGAGGAAGGUCCCCCACAUUGGUACUGAGACACGGACCAA
rnacentral:rRNA from 1 species